AGCGAACGCUGGCGGCAGGCCUAACACAUGCAAGUCGAACGAACCUUUCGGGGUUAGUGGCGGACGGGUGAGUCACACGUGGGAACGUGCCUUUAGGUUCGGAAUUACUCAGGGACACUUGUGCUAAUACCGAAUGUGCCCUGCGGAGGACAGAUUUAUCGCCCUUAGAACGGCCCGCGUCCGAUUAGCCAGUUGGUGGAGGUAAUGGCUCACCAAGGCGACGAUCCGUAGCUGGUCUGAGAGGAUGAUCAGCCACAUUGGGACUGAGACACGGCCGAAACUCCUACGGGAGGCAGCAGUGGGGAAUCUUGCGCAAUGGGCGAAAGCCUGACGCAGCCAUGCCGCGUGAAUGAUGAAGGUCUUAGGAUUGUAAAAUUCUUUCACCGGGGACGAUAAUGACGGUACCCGGAGAAGAAGCCCCGGCUAACUUCGUG
rnacentral:rRNA from 1 species